GCGUGGGGCCGGGCGCGGAGCGGGGCAGAGCGGAGCGGGGCAGAGCGGAGCGGGGCAGAGCUGCACGG
rnacentral:miRNA from 12 species